CCUACGGGAGGCAGCAGUGGGGAAUAUUGCGCAAUGGGCGAAAGCCUGACGCAGCGACGCCGCGUGAGGGAUGAAGGUCUUCGGAUCGUAAACCUCUGUCAGCAGGGACGAACGGUCACUGUGCUAAUCAGCAGUGAAUUGACGGUACCUGCAAAGGAAGCACCGGCUAACUCCGUGCCAGCAGCCGCGGUAAUACGGAGGGUGCGAGCGUUAAUCGGAAUUACUGGGCGUAAAGCGCUCGUAGGCGGUAUGUCAAGUCAAGGGUGAAAUCCCCGCGCUCAACGUGGGAACUGCCUUUGAAACUGGCAAACUGGAGUGUGUGAGAGGAUAGUGGAAUUCCAGGUGUAGGAGUGAAAGCCGUAGAUAUCUGGAGGAACAUCAGUGGCGAAGGCGACUAUCUGGCACAUAACUGACGCUGAGGAGCGAAAGCGUGGGUAGCAAACAGGAUUAGAUACCCUAGUAGUC
rnacentral:rRNA from 1 species